rnacentral:rRNA from 1 species
GACGAACGCUGGCGGCGUGCUUAACACAUGCAAGUCGAACGAAGUGGCGAACGGGUGAGUAACGCGUAAUCCACCUGCCCUUCAGCGGGGGACAACAGUUGGAAACGACUGCUAAUACCGCAUACUGAAGGAGGGGAUUGCGUCUGAUUCGCUAGUUGGGGGGGUAACGGCCCACCAAGGCGCUGAUCAGUAGCCGGGUGGAGAGGAGGAACGGCCACAAUGGGACUGGGACACGGCCCAGACUCCUACGGGAGGCAGCAAUGGGGAAUCUUCCGCAAUGGACGAAAAGCUGACGGAGCAACGCCGCGGGAGUGAUGGCGGCCUUCGGGUUGUAAAACUCUGUUAAUCGGGGCGCGGUACCGAAAUAGAAAGCCACGGCUAACUACGUGCCAGCAGCCGCGGUAAUUC